rnacentral:tRNA from 1 species
GGAGAGGUGGCCGAGAGGCUGAAGGCGACGGUUUCGAAAACCGUUUAGCGGGCGACUGCUACGGGGGUUCGAAUCCCCCCUUCUCCG